rnacentral:rRNA from 1 species
CCUACGGGUGGCUGCAGUGAGGAAUAUUGGUCAAUGGACGAGAGUCUGAACCAGCCAAGUAGCGUGAAGGAUGACUGCCCUAUGGGUUGUAAACUUCUUUUAUAUGGGAAUAAAACAGGGUAUGCAUCCCCUCUUGUAUGUACCAUAUGAAUAAGGAUCGGCUAACUACGUGCCAGCAGCCGCGGUAAUACGGUGGAUCCGAGCGUUAUCCGGAUUUAUUGGGUUUAAAGGGAGCGUAGGCGGGUCUUUAAGUGUGCCGUGAAAUUUUGUGGCUCAACCAUGAGAGGGCGGUGCCAACUGGAGACCUUGAGUGCGCGGAAGGCAGGCGGAAUUCGUGGUGUAGCGGUGAAAUGCUUAGAUAUCACGAAGAACCCCGAUUGCGAAGGCAGCCUGCCGCAGCGUUACUGACGCUGAAGCUCGAAAGCGCGGGUAUCGAACAGGAUUAGAUACCCGGGUAGUC